UACGAAGGGGGCUAGCGUUGCUCGGAAUCACUGGGCGUAAAGCGCACGUAGGCGGACUCUUAAGUCGGUGGUGAAAUCCUGGAGCUCAACUCCAGAACUGCCUUCGAUACUGGGAGUCUCGAGUCCGGGAGAGGUGAGUGGAACUGCGAGUGUAGAGGUGAAAUUCGUAGAUAUUCGCAAGAACACCAGUGGCGAAGGCGGCUCACUGGCCCCGGUACUGACGCUGAGG
rnacentral:rRNA from 1 species